GGAGUCACGCCAGAAAUCUUACCCGGAGAGACAGCAGAAUGAAGGUCAAGCUGAAGACUUUACCAGACAAGCUGAGAGGUGGUGCAUGGCCGUCGCCAGCUCGUGCCGUGAGAUGUCCUGUUAAGUCAGGUAACGAGCGAGAUCCCUGCCUCUAGUUGCCACCAUUACUCUCAGGAGUAGUGGGGCGAAUUAGCGGGACCGCCGCAGUUAAUGCGGAGGAAGGAAGGGGCCACGGCAGGUCUGUAUGCUCCGAAACUCUGGGGCCACACGCGGGCUGCAAUGGUAGCGACAAUUGGUUUCGAAUCCGAAAGGAUGAGGUAAUCCACAAACGCUACCACAGUUAUGACUGAGGGCUGCAACUCGCCCUCACGAAUAUGGAAUCCCUAGUAACUGCGUGUCAUUAUCGCGCGGUGAAUACGUCCCUGCUCCUUGCACACACCGCCCGUCGUUUCAUUGAAGUGAGCUUUUAGCGAGGUGACGUCUAAUUGGCGUUAUCGAACUUGAGGUUCGUGACAAGGGAAAAGUCGUAACAAGGUGACCGUAGGGGAACCUGCGGUCGGAUCA
rnacentral:rRNA from 1 species